rnacentral:rRNA from 2 species
ACAUUUGAGUGAGUGGCGAACUGGUGAGUAACACGUGGGAAACCUGCCCAGAAGCGGGGGAUAACACCUGGAAACAGAUGCUAAUACCGCAUAACAACUUGGACCGCAUGGUCCGAGCUUGAAAGAUGGCUUCGGCUAUCACUUUUGGAUGGUCCCGCGGCGUAUUAGCUAGAUGGUGGGGUAACGGCUCACCAUGGCAAUGAUACGUAGCCGACCUGAGAGGGUAAUCGGCCACAUUGGGACUGAGACACGGCCCAAACUCCUACGGGAGGCAGCAGUAGGGAAUCUUCCACAAUGGACGAAAGUCUGAUGGAGCAACGCCGCGUGAGUGAAGAAGGGUUUCGGCUCGUAAAACUCUGUUGUUAAAGAAGAACAUAUCUGAGAGUAACUGUUCAGGUAUUGACGGUAUUUAACCAGAAAGCCACGGCUAACUACGUGCCAGCAGCCGCGGUAAUACGUAGGUGGCAAGCGUUGUCCGGAUUUAUUGGGCGUAAAGCGAGCGCAGGCGGUUUUUUAAGUCUGAUGUGAAAGCCUUCGGCUCAACCGAAGAAGUGCAUCGGAAACUGGGAAACUUGAGUGCAGAAGAGGACAGUGGAACUCCAUGUGUAGCGGUGAAAUGCGUAGAUAUAUGGAAGAACACCAGUGGCGAAGGCGGCUGUCUGGUCUGUAACUGACGCUGAGGCUCGAAAGUAUGGGUAGCAAACAGGAUUAGAUACCCUGGUAGUCCAUACCGUAAACGAUGAAUGCUAAGUGUUGGAGGGUUUCCGCCCUUCAGUGCUGCAGCUAACGCAUUAAGCAUUCCGCCUGGGGAGUACGGCCGCAAGGCUGAAACUCAAAGGAAUUGACGGGGGCCCGCACAAGCGGUGGAGCAUGUGGUUUAAUUCGAAGCUACGCGAAGAACCUUACCAGGUCUUGACAUACUAUGCAAAUCUAAGAGAUUAGACGUUCCCUUCGGGGACAUGGAUACAGGUGGUGCAUGGUUGUCGUCAGCUCGUGUCGUGAGAUGUUGGGUUAAGUCCCGCAACGAGCGCAACCCUUAUUAUCAGUUGCCAGCAUUAAGUUGGGCACUCUGGUGAGACUGCCGGUGACAAACCGGAGGAAGGUGGGGAUGACGUCAAAUCAUCAUGCCCCUUAUGACCUGGGCUACACACGUGCUACAAUGGAUGGUACAACGAGUUGCGAACUCGCGAGAGUAAGCUAAUCUCUUAAAGCCAUUCUCAGUUCGGAUUGUAGGCUGCAACUCGCCUACAUGAAGUCGGAAUCGCUAGUAAUCGCGGAUCAGCAUGCCGCGGUGAAUACGUUCCCGGGCCUUGUACA